AACCUUAUGGACCUGCGGGCGUAUACCUGCGGAAGGAUCAUUAUUGAAUUAUGUUUCUAGAUGGGUUGUCGCUGGCUCUUCGGAGCAUGUGCACGCCUGUUUAGAUUUCAUUUUCAUCCACCUGUGCACCUAUUGUAGUCUUCGGUUGGGUAUGGAGAGGAAGUGGUCAGCCUAUCAGCAUUUGCUGGAUGUGAGGAGUGCAGUGUGAAAACAUUGCUGUCCUCAACUUGGCCAUGGAAU
rnacentral:misc_RNA from 1 species